rnacentral:hammerhead_ribozyme from 1 species
GCACUGCCGAGGAGUCCCACAAUAGGACGAAACGGUAGUCCAGUGC